rnacentral:rRNA from 1 species
AGUCGAGCGGACGAAGGGAGCUUGCUCCCGGAUGUUAGCGGCGGACGGGUGAGUACACGUGGGUAACCUGCCUGUAAGACUGGGAUAACUCCGGGAAACCGGAGCUAAUACCGGAUAGUUCCUUGAACCGCAUGGUUCAAGGAUGAAAGACGGUUUCGGCUGUCACUUACAGAUGGACCCGCGGCGCAUUAGCUAGUUGGUGAGGUAACGGCUCACCAAGGCGACGAUGCGUAGCCGACCUGAGAGGGUGAUCGGCCACACUGGGACUGAGACACGGCCCAGACUCCUACGGGAGGCAGCAGUAGGGAAUCUUCCGCAAUGGACGAAAGUCUGACGGAGCAACGCCGCGUGAGUGAUGAAGGUUUUCGGAUCGUAAAGCUCUGUUGUUAGGGAAGAACAAGUGCAAGAGUAACUGCUUGCACCUUGACGGUACCUAACCAGAAAGCCACGGCUAACUACGUGCCAGCAGCCGCGGUAAUACGUAGGUGGCAAGCGUUGUCCGGAAUUAUUGGGCGUAAAGGGCUCGCAGGCGGUUUCUUAAGUCUGAUGUGAAAGCCCCCGGCUCAACCGGGGAGGGUCAUUGGAAACUGGGAAACUUGAGUGCAGAAGAGGAGAGUGGAAUUCCACGUGUAGCGGUGAAAUGCGUAGAGAUGUGGAGGAACACCAGUGGCGAAGGCGACUCUCUGGUCUGUAACUGACGCUGAGGAGCGAAAGCGUGGGGAGCGAACAGGAUUAGAUACCCUGGUAGUCCACGCCGUAAACGAUGAGUGCUAAGUGUUAGGGGGUUUCCGCCCCUUAGUGCUGCAGCUAACGCAUUAAGCACUCCGCCUGGGGAGUACGGUCGCAAGACUGAAACUCAAAGGAAUUGACGGGGGCCCGCACAAGCGGUGGAGCAUGUGGUUUAAUUCGAAGCAACGCGAAGAACCUUACCAGGUCUUGACAUCCUCUGACAACCCUAGAGAUAGGGCUUUCCCUUCGGGGACAGAGUGACAGGUGGUGCAUGGUUGUCGUCAGCUCGUGUCGUGAGAUGUUGGGUUAAGUCCCGCAACGAGCGCAACCCUUGAUCUUAGUUGCCAGCAUUCAGUUGGGCACUCUAAGGUGACUGCCGGUGACAAACCGGAGGAAGGUGGGGAUGACGUCAAAUCAUCAUGCCCCUUAUGACCUGGGCUACACACGUGCUACAAUGGACAGAACAAAGGGCUGCGAGACCGCAAGGUUUAGCCAAUCCCACAAAUCUGUUCUCAGUUCGGAUCGCAGUCUG